GCCGAAUCCUGGAAGAUUCUGCAACAACUUGAACACGUUGUAAAAAAGUGACAAAACGAGWACAGACAGUGACUUACUCAAAGAUGUCCACUUCACAGACAAACAAACUGAAGRUAUAUAAAGUCUGUGUUUCCAUCUCUGAGACAUCCUGUGACCAGAAACUGCUGCUGGAACAGACUCUUCAACUAAUCAUCAAAACAAGAUGGCUGCUGGUCUUGUCUUCACUCUGCUUCUUGGUCUGAGCUUUGGACUCUGGGAUGGAGUUGAUGUAAGUAUGGAGAAGGACUUAAAACAAUGAUUGGUACGUCCCUGUUGGGAGCUUUGGCUGACUGACGYAGAUCAGAUGGAGCAAUCUGAGACAUUAUUUGGUUGAAGUUCAAUGAGAAAACUUUGUUUUGUUCUGAAACUUUGGGUUUUUCCAUCCACAGGCAACUCAACUGAGAGCUCCCGCAGAACUUGACUGCCCUGCAGGCUGGAGUUGGUUCGAUCAUCGCUGUUUUGUGUUUGUGCCUUAUCAAAUGACCUGGGCUGCAGCAGAGAAAUAUUGCCUCUCAUUGGAUGGACAUCUGGCCUCAUACCACAAUAUAGCGGAGUACAACUUCAUCAGAGAGCUUGUCCUCAGAGUUUCUGGAAAACACACAUCAUCUUGGGUUGGCGGUUAUGAUGCACCACAGGUGAAAUUUUAAAA